AUGGGCAUCCCAAAACCUGAGAUUUCUACCUCAAAAAUUGCAUUUACACCCCAAAAUUUGGGAUUUUCACCCCAAACUCAUGCCUGGAACUCGCACCACCCCUCAGGGCUGCUCACCCGCUCCCAGCCCGCCCCAAAACCCAGAAUUUACAACACAAAAUCUGGGAUUUACACCCCAAAAUUUGUGAUUUACAUCCUGAAAAUGGCAUUUACACCCCAAAAAUUGGGAUUUACACCCCAAAAAUUGGGAUUUUCGCCCCAAACUCACGCCUGGAACUCGCGCCGCCUCUCGGGGCUGCUCACCCGCUCCCAGCCCGCCCGCAGCACCUUGAACGCCGCCUCCGCCCGGGGGUCGCGGCUCUUGUCGGGGUGCACCUGCCAAGUCACGACCCUCAGCGUCCCCAAAUUGUCCCCAAAUUGUCCCCAAGAUGUCCCCAAAGUGUCCCCGACACCCACCAGCACCGCCAGCCUCCGGUACGCCCUCCUCAGCUCGGUGUCGCUGGCCGUGGGCUCCACGCCGAGCACCCGGAACGGGUCCGGCUCCUCCUCGGCCACCAUGGCCACCAAACGUGUCACCUCCUCCUCCUCCUGGUGGCCGCCACCACCUCCGGUGACACCGGCGUGGCUCGCCCGCCGCCGUAGCCACUCGCCCAGCAGCUCCCGGGAGCGGCGGAGCCCCGAGGAGGCGCCGCGGAGGAAGGAGCGGAGCCCCCCGAGGAGGAGGAGGAGGAGGAGGAAGAGCAGCGGCAGGAGAGCCCCGAGGAGGCGGAGGAACAGCGCGACCCCCGCCCGGGCCACCCGUAGGGACACCCGGUGUCCCCUCCCGGUGUCGUCGUGGCGUUGUCGCGGUCGCCGCCGCGCCCCGCGGGUGUCGCCGGUGUCGUCCGGGGGUCCCCGGUGGCGGCAGCCGGGGCCGCACGGGAGGUCCCGGGAGGGGCUCGGGGGAGCGGCCGGGGGGGACCGGCAGCCGCAGCGACCCCCGGGGGUGGGGACACAGCCGGGAGCGGGGACACUGCCGGGGGUGGGGACACCCCGAGGGUUGGGGACAUUGGAGGGGUUGGGGACACUCCCGGUACUGGGGACACUCCCGGGACCGCGGACGCCACCGGGGCCGGUGACAGGAGGGUCGCGCUCGCCGCUGCCGCCCGCCGUGCCGGCGCCAGUCCCGGAGCCGGUGUCGAUGCCGGUGGCAGCGGGGGGGUGGCCACAGCUCCCGUUGCAGGCGGCGCUGGAGCCCCCCCCCGAGGACGCCCCCGGCCGCCUCCCGGUACCGGGGCCGCUCCAUCGGACCGGGGUUAGGUCACGGCCACCCCUGGGACAGAGCGGGGACAGCGGCGUCAGGGCCCCCGGUACGGCCACGGGACACCGGAACGGACCGGGACCCCCGAAAUCCGGUACCGGGGACCCCCUGACCCCUCCGCGAACGGAACCGGGACCCCCCAAACCGGCCCGGGACCCCCCCAAACCGGCCCGGGAGCCCCGGACGCUCGGAGCGGCUCUCGGAGCUCCGGUACCGGAAGGGUUCGGAGGGGUCCGGAGGAGUUCGAGACUCACCGUGCCGGUACCGGGGGGGUUCGGGACUCACCAUUCCGGUACCGGGGGGGUUCCGGGGGGGUCGCUCCGCCACCCCCCCCGGGGUCCCCUCACGGCUGCACUUCCGCUUCCCGCCAGCCGCACGCGCCGCCACGCCCUCUUCCGGGGUGGGACAGCACCGCGCGGUCAUUUCCUUAAA
rnacentral:lncRNA from 1 species